GUCCAUUCGCAGGCCCGGCAGCGGCCGCCCAGGGACUCGAGCUGCGGGGCGUGGCCGGUGAGAGGGGACCCCGUGCUCCCUCUGCGUGCCGGGCCGCAGAGAGCCCCGCCCUGUCCAUUCCCGCCCACGGGGCGGAGCUCGCGGCCAGUGGGAGGUGCCGAGCGGCCCGAUUUAUUCCGGGCCGGGCGCACAGGCGGCAAGGACCCGCGCCGGCCACAGCAUGCAGGAACCCCGCGUGCUGGCCGCGCUCUGCGGCGCGCUGCUCUGCGCCUCCGGCCUCCUGGCCGCCUCGGACUGCAUCAGGGGCUGGGCAUGGAGGGGCUCCAUCGCUGACUCUGCAAAUCUCCGCCUCGUCCCUAUACUUGGGCUUCAUGGGUUUGCAGCGCACUGGGCUCAGAGCUGGCCCGGCUGCACGCGCGGGCACGGGCAUUGUCAAUGCCUGGACGGCCAGCAACUAUGACAGAAAGCCCUGGAUCCAGGUGAACCUCCUUCGGAAGAUGCGGGUGUCAGGCGGGUGACGCAGGGCGCCAGCCGCGCAGGCAGUGCCGAGUACGUUGAAGACCUUCAGAGUGGCCUACAGCCUCGAUGGACUUGUAAGUUCCACUUCAUCCAGGAUGGAGAGGGCUCUGGGGACAAGGUGUUCGAGGGUAACAUGAACAACAGCGGCCUGAAGCUCAACCUGUUCAGCACCCCCGCUGGAGGUCCAGUAUGUGAGGCUGUACCCCGUGGCCUGCCACAGGGGCUGCACCCUGCGCUUUGAGCUCGUGGGCUGUGAACUGAACGGGUGGAGUGUGGAGGCUGCGCUGCCAGCUCGGGGUAGCCUUCUCUGCUCCCUCUUUAUUGAGCUGGGCAGGGCCAGCAUCAAGCCCCAGGGACCUGGGUCAAACCGGAAAGGGACAUCAGAAGGUCACCUGUCUGGGUAUGUGCUGUCUGCCACUCCAUGGCUCUGGAUGCUCUGGUUAGUCAAGAGAAAACUCAGUUUCCAAAGUACUUUCACCCAGUCUGGUCGGGCCCUGGUGACUCUAGAACACAGGUGCUGGGGAAAUCUUGAUGAGUGGCUGGAUGAAGGAAGGAGGGAAGUGGCACCCAGGUACAUCGCGGAGCAGGGUUACACAGCUGCAGUAUAACACAGGGCGGGGAGCCUGGGAGCCUAGGGGCUUCUUGGAUUACAGGAUAGGAGCUUUUGCUUCCUACUGCCCUAUCCAGAGAGAGUCCUAAAUGGAGAGAUGGGAGGAACCAGAAGGGAGCAGGCUUCUGCUGAGCCAGCAAACACCAUUGGAGAGGUUGGAGUGCAUGGUUUGUGCUGAUAGAUGCCACCUUCAGGUCUGAAUAUUUCGGUUUUUUUUAAAGUCGCAGCGCCACCUUCUGGCCCUUGGUAGAACUGCAUAUAUCCGGCAGCCAGGCCGAGGAAAAAGGUGGCGUGGUCACUGCCUGCUUUGUCGAGCUCCACCCCCUUCCCUUCUGUGGCCCCUCUUCCCGUUACCUGGUUUCACAUACCAUCCAGAACCACUUGGACCUGGGUCUUGUGGCUUUCUGGGUUUCAUCUUGUGUGUGUGUGCGUUGCUGGGGAUGAGCUGAGGGCUUCAUGCAUGCCGGGUGAGCACUCUACUGCUGAGCUACACCUGUAGUCCUCCUGUGCCUGUCUUUCUCUCUCCUUUCUUUUGUGAUACUGGGGAUUGAACCCAGAGCCUUUGCACUGAGCCGCAUUCCCAGCCUUUUUAAUUUUUUUAUUCAGGGUCUCACUAAAUUGCUACGUUGCCUAGGCUGGAGUUGCACUUGUGACCCUACUGCCUCAGGCUCCCAGAGUGCUGGGAUUACAGGAGUGCAGUGCUGCACUCUAUCUCUGUUUGACACGCAUCCUCUCCCAGGCCCACUGCCUUUCGAGCCAUGUUGUUUAAGUGGGGACUGAAAGGCUUUUGCCUUCUGCUAGAAGGAAAUUUAGGUAACGGGUGAGAGAGAGUCAAGUCUGUGGCCUCUCCUUGGGGCCCUGCCCCUCACUGUCUCGACCUGAGGCCUUUGUGCUUAAAGUUGCCUGUGUGAUCACUGCUGGCUCCGCUCAAGGCCCUGAGAUCGAGCCUCCCCUGUGGGCGGUGAGGUUGCCUUGCCUCCCAGGGACAGGAGAGGACAGGGUGUGCAUGAGCACAGGGGGUGCCUGUGCCUGCAGCAGCACCCAGGACAUCGGCGUGGGUAGGAGCUAAGGAGGUGUGGCUAGAGUAGGAUGCAGGGUGCCUGGGCCCCAGGGCUCUGACUUCUCUAACUCCUGGGUGCUGGAGGGCAGGGGUGGCAGAGCCUUUCCCAGCAGGCCUGCAAGUCCUGUGCUUCCUGCCUCAGCCUCCGUGUUCUCAUCUGUAGCAUGGGUGACUCAUAGCUGUACCACUCAGGUUUUCCUGGGGCUGAAGUAGCAACUGAGGUCAGCACUGGGCAGACAGUAGUUGUCUUAUUGUCUGUGUGGUGCGGCUGUUGGUGGUGCGCAGGUGCGAGGGAGGGCACUGUCCAUCUCGUGGGCUGGGUCCUGGAGGAGGGCGGGAGGUAGUGUGGGCGGGGUGCCCUGGUGUCCGAGGAGAUGAGCAGCAGGAGGUCUUGUGUGGUCUUCGAGGCACCGGUCAGGGUGAGGGGGCCGAGGCCGCCAGGCUGCAUGAGGAGAGAGCAGGACAGGCGGUGGCAGGUGGGGUAUUUGGAUGGAGCUUCUUUCUCUUGUUCAUGAGGAUGACAGCCUGGGUAUGGUGGCAGCACCUGUAGCCCCAGCUACCUGGGAGGCUGAGGCAGGAGAAUUGCUUGAGCCCAGGAGUUCAAAGCCAGUCUGGGAACCUUGAGGCUCUGUCUCAAAAAAAGUUCAGGGGCAGAUCAGGAUCCACACUCUUUCCACUCUUGCCCCUUCAUGGAUUUGUGCUCCCGCCCAGGGAGCUGCAGAUCUCAGAUGGGGUGAUGAUCCCCCUUGCCAGCAGGAUGCUCCGAACCCCUGGGCCUGAAGGAUGGCACCAUCCCCGACAGGCAGAUCACAGCCUCCAGCAGCUAUAAGAUGUGGGGCCUUGAGGAGCCUUCAGCUGGUCGCCUCUUCUUGAGAGGCUGGACAAUCAGGGCAAGUUCAACGCCUGGACAGCACAGAGCAACUCUCCCAAUGCCUCUGAGUGGCUGCAGGUUGACCUGGGCUCCCAGAAGCAGGUGGAGGGGAUCAUCACCCAAGGCGCCGUGACUUUGGCCACAUCCAGUGCGUGGCUUCCUACAAGGUGGCCUACAGCAACAAUGGUGUCAACUGGGUUGAGUACAAGGAGCCAGGGGCUGUGGACAGCAAGAUCUUCCAAGGCAACUUGGACAACAACUCCCACAAGAAGAAUGUGUUUGAGACGCCCUUCUUGGCUCGCUAUGUGCGCGUGCUGCCUGUGUCCUGGCAAAACCGCAUCACCCUGCGCCUGGAGCUGCUGGGCUGCUAGCAUUUGCCCCGCGGGUCAGACCUGAGGGACCUAAGUGACCACAGGGCUGCCUCUCCACACCCUGCCUCCUGCCUGCUGCAGCCCCUUGUUCCCCUUCGGGCCUUAGAGGAGGCACCCAAGGCUGCCAUCGUCCCUCCCCUUUCCUUCCAGCUCUACAGGCCUCCCCUUCCCAGGGCCUUCGAGGGUCGGUCUGGGAUUCACUGGGAUGCACGCUGAGUCAGGUGUGUGGCUUUUCGGCACCUCCACGGAUCCCAGGCCCCCAGCUCUGGGUUGACUCUAGAGGGGCCUCUGGGCUUCCCAAGCCCCUUGCUGCAGCACCCCACAUUCCCGAGUCCCCAGAUGGAGGCCCGUGUCCCCAGACAGCAGAGUCCUCCCACCCCCAGGUGCCGGGCCAGCGAUUGCAGCCCGGGGCAGAUGCUGCCAGCCAGCUCUGCGCCUCCCCGACGCGUCUCCUUAUCUCGCCAGAGACCCCUCUUGACCCUGUCCCUAGGAAGAAGACGGAGGGGGUGCUGGGUCUGUGGAGAGACAGGAGACUGGAGCCAGCCUGGCGGUGAGCGGGAGGCUGGCUGGGUGGGCAGGGGUCUCUGUGCUGUCCCCUCACCCAGGCCACGGGCAGCUUCCCAAAUAUAUUUGUAUUCACCACUGGAAUCGGCUGUGCUUCCUCAUUGCUCGCCAUCGCUCUUCCCAGGGGCACUUACUGCAUUCUGGCCCCCACCUCCACCUGGAUUCUCCGGUUACCUGUCCAGCUGCAUAGAGAGCAGGAGGUGGGACACUGGGGGCGGUGCUGACCCACCUCUUCCCCUCCUUUUCCUUCUCCAUCUCCAUCCCUGUCUGGCUUGGCCAUAGCUGCUGCUUGGUGCGAGGCCAGGGAGUGCCUGGCACUGAGUCUGUCUCCUGGCUUGCCUCUGUCUCCUUCCCACGCCAGGAAGACCGGCAGCCACUGCGGGCUUCCCCUCCAGCAAUUUCCC
ensembl:lncRNA